rnacentral:rRNA from 1 species
CAGCAGCCACGGUAAUACGUAGGGUGCAAGCGUUGUCCGGAAUUAUUGGGCGUAAAGAGCUCGUAGGCGGUUUGUCGCGUCUGCUGUGAAAUCCCGAGGCUCAACCUCGGGCUUGCAGUGGGUACGGGCAGACUAGAGUGCGGUAGGGGAGAUUGGAAUUCCUGGUGUAGCGGUGGAAUGCGCAGAUAUCAGGAGGAACACCGAUGGCGAAGGCAGAUCUCUGGGCCGUAACUGACGCUGAGGAGCGAAAGCGUGGGGAGCGAACAGGAUUAGAUACCCCUGUAGUCCCUGUCUCUUAUAC